rnacentral:rRNA from 1 species
UACAGAGGUCUCAAGCGUUGUUCGGAUUCAUUGGGCGUAAAGGGUGCGUAGGUGGCGCCGUAAGUCGGGUGUGAAAUUUCGGAUCUCAACUCCGGAACUGCAUUCGAUACUGCGGUGCUUGAGGACUGGAGAGGAGACUGGAAUUCAUGGUGUAGCAGUGAAAUGCGUAGAUAUCAGGAGGAAUACCGAUGGCGAAGGCAGGUCUCUGGGCUGACACUGACGCUCAUGCACGAAAGCGUGGGGAGCAAACAGG